GAUGGCUCAAUCAGUGAGAGUGAGGUUACUGGCAGACUUGCAAGGAGGAAGGGUGCACCGGCAAAGAAUGAGAGGACUAAUGUUCAACGAAAUAAGAAGUAUACUAUUUUGUUCCUAGUUGGGUCUAUAUAAUUGGGUAGUUGAAUUGGAAAACAAUGUAGGAAUUAAGUCAUUUUGGUUUUCUACAACACUUUUUCUUGAUUACAUUAUACUCGAGUACUCGAGUUAUCUGAUUGCAUUUUUG
rnacentral:lncRNA from 1 species